UACGUAGGGUGCGAGCGUUGUCCGGAAUUAUUGGGCGUAAAGAGCGUGUAGGCGGCCAGACAGGUCCGUUGUGAAAACUCGAGGCUCAACCUCGAGAUGUCGAUGGAAACCGUCUGGCUAGAGUCCGGAAGAGGAGUGUGGAAUUCCUGGUGUAGCGGUGAAAUGCGCAGAUAUCAGGAGGAACACCGGUGGCGAAGGCGGUUCUCUGGGCAUGAUCUGACGCUGAGGAGCGAAAGUGUGGGGAGCGAACAGG
rnacentral:rRNA from 1 species